GACGAACGCUGGCGGCGUGCUUAACACAUGCAAGUCGAACGGAAAGGCCCUGCUUUUGUGGGGUGCUCGAGUGGCGAACGGGUGAGUAACACGUGAGUAACCUGCCCUUGACUCUGGGAUAACUUCAGGAAACUGGGGCUAAUACCGGAUAGGAGCUCCUGCUGCAUGGUGGGGGUUGGAAAGUUUCGGCGGUUGGGGAUGGACUCGCGGCUUAUCAGCUUGUUGGUGGGGUAGUGGCUUACCAAGGCUUUGACGGGUAGCCGGCCUGAGAGGGUGACCGGCCACGUUGGGACUGAGAUACGGCCCAGACUCCUACGGGAGGCAGCAGUGGGGAAUAUUGCACAAUGGGCGGAAGCCUGGUGCAGCAACGCCGCGUGCGGGAUGACGGCCUUCGGGUUGUAAACCGCUUUCGCCUGUGACGAAGCGUGAGUGACGGUAAUGGGUAAAGAAGCACCGGCUAACUACGUG
rnacentral:rRNA from 1 species